rnacentral:rRNA from 1 species
AUGAUAUAUCUUGAUCAUUGUCUCUUGUCUCCAUUAGUUGCACCUCUCAUAUGCCAUUGUAGUGAGUGCAUCCAUGUUAUGUUUAUUCAUCUUGGAGACUUGGACAUAUUACUUGUGAUGCAUGCUUGUUUACUUCAGCCUAUUGUAUUUGGUUGUUAUCGCAUCAUAUGCCUCCAUCCUAUGAAAUGCUCCCUUGUCCUUUCUUAUGAUGAGCAUGAUGCAUACACUUGUUGGGUAUCUUACCACACGAAUGAUAGGUUUUGCAUUUCCGCUAACCUCAUUUAUUUUUCCGAGUGUUUGUCAUGUUCUUUCAUUUUGAAGGAUUCACAAGGCGAUACCGUCAUGAGACAAUUUGGGUAUGUGAAGGCGUACGCGAUGCGGGAUACCAACAUUUUCGACAUUCUCAUAAAGGUGAACUCCUUCCCUUUGAGCCACCCUCAAUUAGGCAUAUUGGAUGGGCCCUUCUUUCAUUGUUGUUUCCUUCUUGUUGUCUACAUGAUACAUCUAUUGGAUAGAGGACCAGCAUUGGAGAUGGACCCUAUGGACCUUCAAGUUGAGGAGUGCUCGGACUUAGUGGAUUCACCAACGGACCACCAUUUCUACCACGACAUUGAGCCAUGGUACAACAACUCCCAUAACAAGUUUGCACUUUAUACAUGGAUUGACUUGCAUUAUGAUUGCCUUGGUGCAUCUUGUAUUUCCAUGUCAUCCAUGAUAUAUGAGCUUGAGCACUUUCUUAGCAAAUUUGUUGUGAUCUUUCUUGAUGGCAUAUUCAUACAUCGUGAUCAUAUUGCCUACCAUCAAUUGCAUGAUAACUUAUUCAUAUUGAGCAUCCAUUACCAUAUUCAUGCUAUUGAUAAACCGUCUCAUUAUGACAUCAUUUUGCACCGUGGUUGCAUUGAUCACAUUCGCAACACCUUUGUGUGCCCAAUGAAUGCUUUUGCUCCAUGA